rnacentral:rRNA from 1 species
UACGUAGGGGGCGAGCGUUGUCCGGAUUUAUUGGGCGUAAAGAGCGUGUAGGCGGCCAGGUAGGUCUGCUGUGAAAACUCGAGGCUCAACCUCGAGACGUCGGCGGAAACCAUCUGGCUAGAGUCCGGAAGAGGAGAGUGGAAUUCCUGGUGUAGCGGUGAAAUGCGCAGAUAUCAGGAAGAACACCAAUGGCGAAGGCAGCUCUCUGGGACGGUACUGACGCUGAGACGCGAAAGCGUGGGGAGCGAACAGG